rnacentral:rRNA from 1 species
GACGAACGCUGGCGGCGUGCUUAACACAUGCAAGUCGAACGAAGUGGCGAACGGGUGAGUAACGCGUAAUCAACCUGCCCUUCUGAGCGGGACAACAGUUGGAAACGACUGCUCAUACCGCAUACUGAAGGAGGGGAUUGCGUCUGCUUAGCUAGUUGGAGGGGUAACGGCCCACCAAGGCGAUGAUCAGUAGACGGUCUGGUAGGAUGAACGGCCACAAUGGGACUGGGACACGGCCCAGACUCCUACGGGAGGCAGCAGUGGGGAAUCUUCCGCAAUGGAAGGAAGUCUGACGGAGCAACGCCGCGUGAGUGAGGACGGCCUUCGGGUUGGAAAGCUCUGUUAGUCGGGACGCGGUACCGGAAUAGAAAGCCACGGCUAACUACGUGCCAGCAGCCGCGGUAAUUC